rnacentral:hammerhead_ribozyme from 1 species
AUCCAUCUGAAGAGUCCCAAAUAGGAUGAAACGCGCAUCCUGGAU